AUGGUCAUCAUUUACGGAAGUGAUUAUAGUGGCCACUCCAAUCAAACUGAUGAGGACAUUAAUGUACGGUUAUGGAAGUCUCUUGUUGGUUUCUUUGCUAUAACAAAAUGUAAAUUGCUCUCCCUUUUUUGGGUUCUUUUGUCUGUGAUUGAUCAGGAGCUCUUACUUCACUUCUAUUCAUUAGUAAUGAGCUUUCCUUGUUCAUGUUCUUAA
rnacentral:lncRNA from 1 species